GAUGGGUGGAAGAGAGCAACGCCAGAGCCCAGGUGCCCAGAGGACUUUCUUCCAGCUUCUGCUGUCCUUCUUUGUGGAGAGCAAGAGUGCGAUGACAUGGAUCCUGCGGACAAACCGCCCCAGGGCGUACCUAGCACCGAAGCAUCAGGCGCCACUAGGUCUCCAGCUCCUUCUCGGAUGACGUCCUUCAGCACGCCCCGGUCCCCCGAGAUGUCCAGCAUCCUCUGACUUAACCGCUCGUACAGGGACUGAUGGAGAAUGAAAGCCAGGCCUCAGAGCCGCAGACCCACCCGGCCACCCCUCAGCGUCUACGCCCCCGAAACGUCUGGGCCCUCACCUGGCCGGGGGCGUCGUCCCCUUCCAGGACUCCCUGGUUUAACGCGCUUCCCCCCAUGUCCUAGCUGCCCUCCCUGUGGCGUGAGCCUUCGGCCUGGUGCGCCCCGCUGCCCUUCCUGGCUGUGACUCUGGUGGGGUUCCGAAGGCCCCUUUAUGCCCG
rnacentral:lncRNA from 1 species